rnacentral:misc_RNA from 1 species
GAAAUGCGAUAAGUAAUGUGAAUUGCAGAAUUCAGUGAAUCAUCGAAUCUUUGAACGCACCUUGCGCUCCUUGGUAUUCCGAGGAGCAUGCCUGUUUGAGUGUCAUGAAAACCCUCAACCUUAGAUUGGUUAAAACCUUUCUUUGGCUUGGAUUUGGACGUUUGCCGAUGAUAAGUCGGCUCGUCUUAAAAGUAAUAGCUGGAUCUGUCUCGCGACAUGGUUUGACCUGGCGUAAUAAGUUAUUUGCUAAGGACAUCUUCGGAUGGCCGCGUUGCAAGACUAAAGGCCGCUUUCUAAUUCAUUGAACUUACGAUUAAUAUUCUUGACAUCUGGCCUCAAAUCAGGUAGGACUACCCGCUGAACUUAA